GGAGUACAUCAUCUCUGGUCUGGUGGUAGCGAUGGUAUGGACGCGAAAGAAUGUGGUGGUCAGACUAUGCAAUUGAGAUUGGCAGGAUUUGUGUGUUGGGCUUCUUAGAUGCGCUACAUAUACAACUUAAAGGCUUUGAUCAUUAAGUCCAUGAUGCUUCCUUCCAGCAUGUUGAUAACCAUGCUAAUUGAAGGUCUAUUUUCUGGCUUUAUCUGUAUGCACCAUAAACCCACUAUCAUCAUUUUUUUUUGCAAUUUCUUUAGUCUUAGGAUUAGCAUCAGUCUCAGGACUAACAAGACUAGUAUCAGGAGUGACCAAAUCAUAGUACUUAUCAAAAUUGUCAUAAACCCAAUCUGGUGUUAGACUGGGUUUAUGACAAUUUUAUGUGCAUAUUCAAUUUGUAUCAUCUUCAGGAACUGGCAAAUGGUCAA